CCGGGCGGGUUCGGGGUCCCCAGGGCCUCAUCUCCGACCGGCGGAACGGGGCCGGAGCGCUGAGGCUCGCAGGCAUCGUGGUGCUCAGGCUGCUCUUUGAGACACCUGCAGCAAGGCUGUUUCUUCAGGGGAUGUUAAGUCUGAGUAGCAGCCCAAAGAGUUCUCAUGUCCAACUUGAGCUGGUUAUCUUCCUCUUAAAACUGGAUGACCUCCUACGCAUUCCUGAUCCAAACAAGAAAGAUAGCAUGACAACUCCAACACACAGCAACAUCGUUCAUCAUGAAAGAAUGCAAGCACGUAGCACAUGGGGAAAAUGUGUAUAAAAAAUACAGCUGGAG
ensembl:lncRNA